ACCAAAGCCAAAGCCCCCGUGCACCUCAUCAUAUCCACCAGCCUCAGCCCCAAUAUGACCAUUAAAGUCCCCUCCAAUAACUAACUUCUCAGACUGGGGGAUACUCCCCACCAGCUCAUCCAAGUCCUCCCAAAAGCGCCUUUUAGCCUCCUCGUCUAAGCCUGCGUGCGGCGCGUAAGCGCUGACGACGUUGAGGACUCCGCCCC
rnacentral:lncRNA from 1 species